GACGAACGCUGGCGGCGUGCUUAACACAUGCAAGUCGAGCGGGGAUACAAGGGAGCUUGCUCCUGAGUAUUCUAGCGGCGGACGGGUGAGUAACGCGUGAGCAACCUUUCUCUCAGUGGGGAAUAACACAGGGAAACUUGUACUAAUACCGCAUGAGACCGCAGAGUCGCAUGGCUUAGGGGUCAAGGAUUUAUCGCUGAGAGGUGGGCUCGCGUCCGAUUAGGUAGUUGGUGGGGUAACGGCCCACCAAGCCGACGAUCGGUAGCCGACCUGAGAGGGUGAUCGGCCACAUUGGGACUGAGACACGGCCCAA
rnacentral:rRNA from 1 species